UACAGAGGUCCCAAGCGUUGUUCGGAUUCACUGGGCGUAAAGGGUGCGUAGGCGGUUUGUCACGUCGGGAGUGAAAACUCGGGGCUCAACCCCGAGCCUGCUUCCGAUACGGGCAGACUAGAGGUAUGCAGGGGAGAAUGGAAUUCCUGGUGUAGCGGUGAAAUGCGCAGAUAUCAGGAGGAACACCUAUUGCGAAGGCAGCUCGCUGGGACGUUACUGACGCUGAGACGCGAAAGCGUGGGGAGCAAACAGG
rnacentral:rRNA from 1 species